UACGUAGGGUGCAAGCGUUGUCCGGAAUCAUUGGGCGUAAAGAGCGUGUAGGCGGUCAGGUAGGUCCGUUGUGAAAACUCAAGGCUCAACCUCGAGACGCCGAUGGAAACCAUCUGACUAGAGUCCGGAAGAGGAGAGUGGAAUUCCUGGUGUAGCGGUGAAAUGCGCAGAUAUCAGGAAGAACACCCGUGGCUAAGGCGGCUCUCUAGUACGGUACUGACGCUGAGACGCGAAAGCGUGGGGAGCGAACAGG
rnacentral:rRNA from 1 species